AGUGAACGCUGGCGGCGGGCCUAAUACAUGCAAGUCGAACGAACAGACGAUAAGCUUUUGCCCCUGACGUUAGCGGCUGGCGGGCGAGUGAGAAGUGGAUAGGCAUCCUCUUAUACUUGGAGAACAUCGUGAAACCGGAUCUACUAACACAGCAUACAUUCUACCGCAGGGAUCAAUAGUUAUUCACGGCUUGCCUGUCUGUUAGAGAUGGAUCCGCGCCGCAUUAGCUAGUUGGUAAGGUAACGGCUUACCAAGGCGACGAUGCGUAGCUGACCUGAGAGGAUGAUCGGCCACACUGGAACUGAGACACGGUCCAGACUCCUACGGGAGGCAGCAGUAGGGAAUCUUCGGCAAUGGGCGAAAGCCUGAUGGAGCCACGCCGCGUGAGUGAAGAAGGUCUUCGGAUCGUAAAGCCCUUUUAUUAGGAAAGAACAGCUGCAUGAGAAUAUCUGGAUGUUCUGACGGUACCUAAAGAGAAAGCAACGGCUAACUUCGUG
rnacentral:rRNA from 1 species